GACGAACGCUGGCGGCGUGCUUAACACAUGCAAGUCGAACGGAAAGGCCCUGCUUUUGUGGGGUGCUCGAGUGGCGAACGGGUGAGUAACACGCGAGUAACCUGCCCUUGACUUUGGGAUAACUUCAGGAAACUGGGGCUAAUACCGGAUAGGAGCUCCUGCUGCAGGGUGGGGGUUGGAAAGUUUCGGCGGUUGGGGAUGGACUCGCGGCUUAUCAGCUUGUUGGUGGGGUAGUGGCUUACCAAGGCUUUGACGGGUAGCCGGCCUGAGAGGGUGACCGGCCACAUUGGGACUGAGAUACGGCACAGACUCCUACGGGAGGCAGAAGUGGGGAAUAUUGCACAAUGGGCGGAAGCCGGAUGCAGCAACGCCGCGUGCGGGAUGACGGCCUUCGGGUUAUAGACCGCUUUCGCCUGUGACGAAGCGUGAGUGACGGUAAUGGGUAAAGAAGCACCGGCUAACUACGUG
rnacentral:rRNA from 1 species